CAGGAUCAACACUUCUACGGGAGGCAGCAGUGGGGAAUAUUGGACAAUGGGCGAAAGCCUGAUCCAGCCAUGCCGCGUGUGUGAAGAAGGUCUUCGGAUUGUAAAGCACUUUAAGUUGGGAGGAAGGGCAGUAAGCGAAUACCUUGCUGUUUUGACGUUACCGACAGAAUAAGCACCGGCUAACUCUGUGCCAGCAGCCGCGGUAAUACAGAGGGUGCAAGCGUUAAUCGGAAUUACUGGGCGUAAAGCGCGCGUAAGUGGUUUGUUAAGUUGAAUGUGAAAGCCCCGGGCUCAACCUGGGAACUGCAUCCAAAACUGGCAAGCUAGAGUACGGUAGAGGGUGGUGGAAUUUCCUGUGUAGCGGUGAAAUGCGUAGAUAUAGGAAGGAACACCAGUGGCGAAGG
rnacentral:rRNA from 2 species